UACAGGGGGGGCAAGCGUUGUUCGGAAUUACUGGGCGUAAAGGGUUCGUAGGUGGCCAACUAAGUCAGACGUGAAAUCCCUCAGCUUAACUGGGGAACUGCGUCUGAUACUGGUUGGCUUGAGUGCAGGAGAGGAACGCAGAAUUCCAGGUGUAGCGGUGAAAUGCGUAGAUAUCUGGAGGAAUACCGGUGGCGAAGGCGGCGUUCUGGACUGUAACUGACACUGAGGAACGAGAGCGUGGGGAGCGAACAGG
rnacentral:rRNA from 1 species